UGGGGAAUAUUGGACAAUGGGCGGAAGCCUGAUCCAGCAACGCCGCGUGAGGGAUGACGGCCUUCGGGUUGUAAACCUCUUUCAGUACCGACGAAGCGAAAGUGACGGUAGGUACAGAAGAAGGACCGGCCAACUACGUGCCAGCAGCCGCGGUAAUACGUAGGGUCCGAGCGUUGUCCGGAAUUAUUGGGCGUAAAGGGCUCGUAGGCGGUUUGUCGCGUCGGGAGUGAAAACAGCGGGCUUAACUCGUUGCUUGCUUUCGAUACGGGCAGACUAGAGGUAUGCAGGGGAGAAUGGAAUUCCUGGUGUAGCGGUGAAAUGCGCAGAUAUCAGGAGGAACACCGGUGGCGAAGGCGGUUCUCUGGGCAUUACCUGACGCUGAGGAGCGAAAAGUGUGGGGAGCGAACAGGAUUAGAUACCCUGGUAGUCCACACCGUAAAACGUUGGGCGCUAGGUGUGGGGUCCUUUCCACGGAUUCCGUGCCGUAGCUAACGCAUUAAGCGCCCCGCCUGGGGAGUACGGCCGCAAGGCUAAAAACUC
rnacentral:rRNA from 1 species